AUUUGAUGUGCAGGGGUGUGGGGGCACAGCACUCUCCCCUCACGGCUUUCCGCUGAGCCUCUCUGGCUCUAGGGCUGGUGUGCACCCCAGGGCAAGGCAAGGACAUUUUUAUGGCAGUUUUCUUGCUCCUAUGCACGUUGGGGUCCCUGCACACCUGCCAGCCCAGGUGCCUCAGCAGAACCCUCCCUGCACCUCAAGAGGAGCUGAGGUGGGAAAAAGGACAUGGUCACCUCAGGGGAAAAAUGGAGCCCAGAGCUACUGCGGCUCUGUGUGGCAUCCCUGGAAGUGAAAAACACCCAGGAAGAGAGGAAGAAAUAGAAAAAGAGACACAAAAUAUGGAGCAGCUAAAGUGCGGGUUACAUUCCUUCCAAAAGGAAGCAUGAACCCAACCUUCAAGGAGGUGCUGCGCCAGGGGAAGCACAACAUGGCCACCCGGCAAGAGGAGCGCUGCCACCAGCCUGGCAGAUGGUGCAUGGCAGCAGUGCCCAGGAGGAGCAGGCCAGGCUGAGAGGAUCCCAGCCCUCAGGGGAAGAAGCCUCCAAGGAAAAGCGGGUAACGCUGGGGAAAAGCAAAAAGGAUGGAGUCAUUAUGGAUUCUGAAAGAAGUAAAAACAAACACCCACCACAGAACACUUGGAAGAACACAGGAGACCCUGCAGCACAGCUCUGCUGUAACAGCCCACUCAUCCCCACAAGCUUUAUCUUUUUGAGUGGAAAAUGUGCUGGCAACAGAGACAAGCUUGUGUGAGAAAUGCAGGCUAAGCCUCCAGGUAAAGUUAAAUGCUAAAACAAGGGCACUGCUGGAGGUAUCAGAAUACAAAACACACAUUGCUUAGUGUGCAGUACAGGCACGUGGCAGCACAUAUGGCACUACACGUGAGCACCAAACAAUAUGCUCAGACCCCAAAGAGUUUGCAGGAAGUCAGAGGUGACAAGUAGGUGACAACAAUAACGUGCAGUGUAAGAAGAAAGUGGAACCAGUGGAGCAUGACAAUGCAUUCACUCCCCCUUGUUCCAGGAUGGAAUAUGGCAUACAGCUGAAAGCAGAGAGGAUUGUCUUCAGCAGAUCCAGGGGUUGUAUCUGGCACUGUCAGGAUAACUACAGCUGUUGGUUUGUUGGUGUUUGUGUUCCCAUCCUGAACUUCUGUGGAUGCUCACUCAACACCUUCUGUGAUUAUGGAAUGAGGAAACCCUGAAAAGCAAAGGUCAUUUUUAGAGGAUCCCAGCUUGAACACAACCCAUAAGGUACAGCAGCAGGUCAGAGUGCUCAUGAUAAACACACUUAAAGUUAAGCAACACUAUAAAGAUUUGAAGUAGCCUCACUUACAGUUCCACCACAAAGACAGUGGCUCUAUUUCACAGACCACCUCGUGUCAGUGCUUUUUUGGAGACUGAGCUAAUACUGCUGCUUGUUAAAUCCUCAGAGUCUUAGGUAAAGUCUUAUUUGAAGUCUGGUUUGUGCCAGUAGCAAAAGUCUCGGUCAUGAAACAGAAUGAAUACCUUUAAAAGUUCAUUUACACAUCAUUUGAAAAGGACUUUUAUUUGGAAAUAGCACUAUACAUAACAAUCUUGAUUGAAAGGCAGAGCUACACAUAAAUAUACACCAGAACACCAGGUGAGGCAGGGGUAUCAGCUUAUGGAAAACUUACUUUUUGUGCUCUGCAGUGCUCUCAGACCACCUCUAAUAUUGCACAACUUUUGCAAUCACAUAAUUUCAUCAAUUUCAGUGGAGUUUCUCCACUUACACUGAUGAAAUAAGGAGGAGACUGCUGUGCCAUAUUUGUACUGGGAGUCAGGGCAGGAUGUCAGGAUCACAGUUUGUCACUUGCCAUGGUGGGCAUAAAAUGAAGAUGAUGUCAGGCCAAAAAACCAGCCUCCAAUAUCAGUCUUAAACACAAGGAUUUAACAAGCAGCAAUUAAAAACCCGUCUUCGAUACAAGAAUCUACAAGUCAAUGGCAUUAAGUUCUCUUGCUGAUUAUCUGGUCUUUGUGAUAUUUAAUUCCCAAUAUUUCAUGGCAAUAUAUUUCUUCUUUCUAGUUGGAGUAUGUGAUUAGAAGUAAAAUCAAGAGCCUUUCAAAAGGUGAAUUAUUUGGAGUGGCUGAAAAUCAUCCCUGUAAGAGACAAGUACUUACAAGUACAAAUCCUACUGAAAAUUAGGAGACAUUGCAGACACACUCCUUGUGCUAGCCCUAGGAGGGGAUCCAAUGUGUGUUUUUAUGGGCUCUAUAAUGGUUAUAAUAUAUAUACCAUUAGUAAUCAUUUUUAAGAAGAGAAGACUUGGAAAAAACUAACACUUCAGUGGAAUGACAUUUCCACUUGCAACUGUCACAGUUAAUGAUUUAUUGAUAAGAUGCAGGUCUUGCUGACUACCAUACAUAUCCUUCACUUCAUUUCCUUUGCAGGCAGCAAGAAUCCAUCAUUCACAUUUUUCUGUUGGCCUACAUCUGUCUAAGGCAGUAUUCGCAGUAUAUAGUACUGGAACAAUAUCAUAUCUCAUAUUAUUAAGUUGAUGUUAUAUGCCCCAUCCUGCUGUUUAGCACUCUCAGUGGGCAAAAGGGAUUCACAAAAUUUUGGAGGUGCAUGAACAUCUGAGACUCUUGAUUGCGGAAAGAAAAAGUACUGAUCAUCUGCAAAAGCAAUCAAUUAUUUUUUACCUUUCUCUCUUCUCACCCACAGUGCAAAAGUGAAGACGUAGACAAAAAGAACAAUGAUAAAGGUGUCAGAAAUGUUUGUGUACAAAGCAAAGUCACACUUCUUUCCAAGGGCGCUAGCAUGGAAAUCUAAAAACCAGUGACAGAGUGGGUUCAGCAUCUCCAGUGAGGCAGUGUCUGUUCACUGACAGCAAACUUCCCUUUGUGCAAAGACCUGUGCCCUAUUUCCACAUCCCUUCAGUGCAGUAUUGGCCCUCUCAGUGGGAAUAAAUGAGUUCUUCAGUUCACUUACCUUCAUUCUAAUUUCUAAUUCACUGACUCCACUCACUGGUCACAGUCAUCUCUUGUUUCUGUCUGGGCAUCAGAACUACUACAACCUCAUAUGACACUCCUCUUAACUGAAUCCUUUUCACAUAAUUGUAGAAAAUAACUUGUAUUUUUGGUAAGGGCAUAAAGAUUAGCUUGAUGUGAGGUACAACAUGGAAAAUUGGGAAGGAAUGCCUAAACUUCUGCCCCUGCAUGCUCAGCACUUUCAAAGGCAAAGUCCCCCUCUUGUCUUUCAAGCUGAAUGUUCAAAAAGGGAAGCAUCCCAAAACAUCAGACACAUUUUGGAAGUCAAAGUGAAUCUUUGCUAUGGCAUAUUUGGUGUCACUGACCGAUUUCCUUUUUGCUCUGCUUUUCCAGGGAUUAAGAUACAGAGAUUACAAAGUCUUUCUUGUAGCCCCUGUAUGAGCAAUAGAAUAGGAGACCCUAUAAAAAACCUCUCAUAUUUAUGUUCAUUAUUUUCAAGAGUUCCAGCUAUUUAUGUGUCUGUAAAUAACCAUUUAGCAGCAGUAGGAGUUCUCCAUGGAGCAAGUCUGUUCUAUUACACUGCAGCACCAGCCUGAAGGAGGAUGCCUGAUCAAGCUGUCAUCUGCAUCUUUCAGACUUCACACCUGCUUGGAGUCAAGACAGUUUUGCAUUCAUAGGCUCUCUCCCUUCAUCACGCUGGCCAAAGCGAUCCUUAAUGGUAGCACUGAGCUGCAACAGCAGGUAAUUCAGACUUGUGAAGAAAGGACCAGCUUCCACUGCUGCAGAUGCAGGCAAAACAACACAGUUCUUACACUGAAACCUUUUCACUGCUAAUACAGCCCCGAAGACAGAGUCUGACUUCCUGCCAUAAUAUGCAUUUAUUCAUUCCUUUAUCACCACAGAGCAAAAGUGGUUUUCACCUGUCACAGAACUCCUGGAACUCGUCUCCAUGUGCCAGUGGCAGAAGGGUUUCUUUGAAAGUCUCACGGGAGAGCCAUUUGCAUGCAGCACGUCGUGGACAUGUUCCAAAUGCUGCUGCACCACAGGCAUACCAAUGCAGAGGCUCAUAAAAUAGGGUUUGUCGUGGCUAGUCCUUGAGAGGUGGCAUAUUGGGGAGAGAAAAAUAAAAGUAUUAACUGAGACUGUAGCCAUUCUCCCCUUAAGAGAAGCGUGUCAUCUGCCCGCCAUUGGCAGGGUGAGCCAGUGCCAGCUGACAGAGACCUCCACACGAGGAAUAUCUGAAGAGACAAGUGGGAGUGUAACAUGGACUAAGCGAUUGAUAUGGAGUGACUCCAAAAUUUGCACAAAUAAUUUCUAAGGCCCUUUAUUCAGGGGGUGCAGAUGCACAUAUCAGGGCAUUUAUAGCUUAGUUUAUGUCUAGUAAGUAAAGUAGCAACUGGGCAAAAAAAGAAAAAGGUCUUUUGCGACACAAAAAGAACUUGCACAACUGUGUUACAGGAUCCAUAUAAAUGCAGGGAUUAAUGGACAGAAAGGCACAUAGUUGAAGAGUGUACUGUAUAUUUUCACUGUAUAUUUUCAGCAUCUUGCUUUUUGGCUAUCACAGAUCCUGUAGCUGGCAGAAAUAACCAGCACUGCAAUUCAUCAUUUUGCUGUAUGGUUGGUCCUUUGCAUUUAUCUUCUUUCACUGAUGUGAUAUAUAAAACUUGGUGAUUUCUGUGUAUUUUAUUUUCUAUUCAAUAAAAUAUGUUUACUGUA